CAAGAAAGAUCAUUAGGAGAGAUAAUUGUUUGGAGGAAGCUAUUCAAACUUGCAUGCAUUUCUUCAUCCUCAAUAUGCCUAUUUAUAUAUUUCUAAUCAGGCCUUGGAGGUAAAUGAGUCUUGUUAUUGGUGAUGUGUGGCAGUUAGUGAUUGAUUAACUUUUAGCUCAUUCUGUUAUCUGCUCAUGUUUUGUUCACCAACUAAUCCUUAUACAUUUGUUAAAGUAUAUUAGCUCGCAUUAUGCACCUAAGGUGCAUAAACCUUGACUCUUCAGAGUGGUUGGUUAGAUACACAAACUCAUGAAUAUUUUAUUGAUAAAACCAUUAAUGGGUCAAUCAUAGUCGGGCGCGGUAACACGCCAUGGUCCAAGGAAAGUUCCCUAGCCACUUCAUUCGGGUCAGUGCUUGCAUGAUACAAUGGCACAUGUAGUACACGCUCAUGGACCUCACGCACACGAGGCAUAUUUUGCAAAAUUGAUCAUGCUUUUGGAUUCCUUUGACCUGUUUAGAUAUGCAGAAGAUAUCGUAACAAGUUAAUAUGAAAAGAUUACACACUUCCUUAUACUGAGUUAGUGUGAAUAUAUUUCUCAUGCGGUUAAAGCAAAGGACAUGAU
rnacentral:lncRNA from 1 species